CCUACGGGAGGCAGCAGUCGAGAAUCAUUCACAAUGGGGGAAACCCUGAUGGUGCGACGCCGCGUGGGGGAAUGAAGGUCUUCGGAUUGUAAACCCCUGUCAUGUGGGAGCAAAUUAAAAAGAUAGUACCACAAGAGGACGAGACGGCUAACUCUGUGCAAGCAGCCGCGGUAAUACAGAGGUCUCAAGCGUUGUUCGGAAUCACUGGGCGUAAAGCGUGCGUAGGCUGUUUCGUAAGUCGUGUGUGAAAGGCGCGGGCUCAACCCGCGGACGGCACAUGAUACUGCGAGACUAGAGUAAUGGAGGGGGAACCGGAAUUCGCGGUGUAGCAGUGAAAUGCGUAGAUAUCGAGAGGAACACUCGUGGCGAAGGCGGGUUCCUGGACAUUAACUGACGCUGAGGCACGAAGGCCAGGGGAGCGAAAAGGAUUAGAUACCCGAGUAGUC
rnacentral:rRNA from 1 species